rnacentral:tRNA from 1 species
GGGGGUUUAGCUUCAAAUGGGAAAACGCCUGCUUUGCAAACUAGAUGUCAUGAAUUCGAGUCUCCCUACCUCAU